rnacentral:rRNA from 1 species
GAUGAACGCUGGCGGCGUGCCUAAUACAUGCAAGUCGAGCGAACAGAUGAGGAGCUUGCUCCUCUGACGUUAGCGGCGGACGGGUGAGUAACACGUGGAUAACCUACCUAUAAGACUGGGAUAACUUCGGGAAACCGGAGCUAAUACCGGAUAAUAUAUUGAACCGCAUGGUUCAAUAGUGAAAGACGGUUUUGCUGUCACUUAUAGAUGGAUCCGCGCCGCAUUAGCUAGUUGGUAGGGUAACGGCUUACCAAGGCGACGAUGCGUAGCCGACCUGAGAGGGUGAUCGGCCACACUAGAACUGAGACACGGUCCAGACUCCUACGGGAGGCAGCAGUAGGGAAUCUUCCGCAAUGGGCGAAAGCCUGACGGAGCAACGCCGCGUGAGUGAUGAAGGUCUUCGGAUCGUAAAACUCUGUUAUUAGGGAAGAACAAAUGUGUAAGUAACUAUGCACGUCUUGACGGUACCUAAUCAGAAAGCCACGGCUAACUACGUG